UACGGAGGAUGCGAGCGUUAUCCGGAUUUAUUGGGUUUAAAGGGUGCGUAGGCGGGGAAUUAAGUCAGCGGUGAAAGUUUGAGGCUCAACCUUAAAAUUGCCGUUGAAACUGGUUUUCUUGAGUGUAGUUGAAGUAGGCGGAAUUUGUGGUGUAGCGGUGAAAUGCUUAGAUAUCACGAGGAACUCCGAUUGCGAAGGCAGCUUACUAAGUUAUAACUGACGCUGAUGCACGAAAGUGUGGGUAUCAAACAGG
rnacentral:rRNA from 1 species